GAUGAACGCUGGCGGCGUGCCUAAUACAUGCAAGUCGAGCGAACGGACGAGAAGCUUGCUUCUCUGCUGUUAGCGGCGGACGGGUGAGUAACACGUGGAUAACCUACCUAUAAGACUGGGGUAACUACGGGAAACCGGAGCUAAUACCGGAUAAUAUUUUGAACCGCAUGGUUCAAAAGAGCAAGAGGGUCUUGCUGUCACUUAUAGAUGGAUCCGCGCUGCAUUAGCUAGUUGGUAAGGUAACGGCUUACCAAGGCAACGAUGCGUAGCCGACCUGAGAGGGUGAUCAGCCACACUGGAACUGAGACACGGUCCAGACUCCUACGGGAGGCAGCAGUAGGGAAUCUUCCGCAAUGGGCGAAAGCCUGACGGAGCAACGCCGCGUGAGUGAUGAAGGUCUUCGGAUCGUAAAACUCUGUUAUUAGGGAAGAACAUAUGUGUAAGUAACUGUGCACAUCUUGACGGUACCUAAUCAGAAAGCCACGGCUAACUUCGUG
rnacentral:rRNA from 1 species